rnacentral:rRNA from 1 species
GAUGAACGCUAGCGGGAGGCCUAACACAUGCAAGCCGAGCGGUAGAGAUUCUUCGGAAUCUUGAGAGCGGCGUACGGGUGCGGAACACGUGUGCAACCUGCCUUUAUCAGGGGGAUAGCCUUUCGAAAGGAAGAUUAAUACCCCAUAAUAUAUUGAAUGGCAUCAUUUGAUAUUGAAAACUCCGGUGGGUAGAGAUGGGCACGCGCAAGAUUAGAUAGUUGGUGAGGUAACGGCUCACCAAGUCUACGAUCUUUAGGGGGCCUGAGAGGGUGAUCCCCCAAACUGGUACUGAGACACGGACCAGACUCCUACGGGAGGCAGCAGUGAGGAAUAUUGGACAAUGGGUGCGAGCCUGAUCCAGCCAUCCCGCGUGAAGGACGACGGCCCUAUGGGUUGUAAACUUCUUUUGUAUAGGGAUAAACCUAGAUACGUGUAUCUAGCUGAAGGUACUAUACGAAUAAGCACCGGCUAACUCCGUGCCAGCAGCCGCCGUAA